GACGAACGCUGGCGGCGUGCCUAAUACAUGCAAGUAGAACGCUGAAGGAGGAGCUUGCUUCUCUGGAUGAGUUGCGAACGGGUGAGUAACGCGUAGGUAACCUGCCUGGUAGCGGGGGAUAACUAUUGGAAACGAUAGCUAAUACCGCAUAAUAGUAGAUGUUGCAUGACAUUUGCUUAAAAGGUGCAAUUGCAUCACUACCAGAUGGACCUGCGUUGUAUUAGCUAGUUGGUGGGGUAACGGCUCACCAAGGCGACGAUACAUAGCCGACCUGAGAGGGUGAUCGGCCACACUGGGACUGAGACACGGCCCAGACUCCUACGGGAGGCAGCAGUAGGGCAUCUUCGGCAAUGGACGGAAGUCUGACCGAGCAACGCCGCGUGAGUGAAGAAGGUUUUCGGAUCGUAAAGCUCUGUUGUAAGAGAAGAACGAGUGUGAGAGUGGAAAGUUCACACUGUGACGGUAUCUUACCAGAAAGGGACGGCUAACUACGUG
rnacentral:rRNA from 1 species